rnacentral:rRNA from 1 species
UACGUAGGGUGCAAGCGUUGUCCGGAAUUAUUGGGCGUAAAGAGCUCGUAGGCGGUCUGUCGCGUCGGCUGUGAAAACCCGGGGCUCAACCCCGGGCCUGCAGUCGAUACGGGCAGACUAGAGUGCGGUAGGGGAGACUGGAAUUCCUGGUGUAGCGGUGAAAUGCGCAGAUAUCAGGAGGAACACCGGUGACGAAGGCGGGUCUCUGGGCCGAUAUUGACGCUGAGGAGCGAAAGCGUGGGGAGCAAACAGG